rnacentral:rRNA from 1 species
UACGUAGGGGGCAAGCGUUGUCCGGAUUUAUUGGGCGUAAAGAGCGUGUAGGCGGCCAGGUAGGUCCGCUGUGAAAACUUGAGGCUCAACCUCGAGAUGUCGGCGGAAACCCCCUGGCUAGAGUCCGGAAGAGGAGAGUGGAAUUCCCGGUGUAGCGGUGAAAUGCGCAGAUAUCGGGAAGAACACCCGUGGCGAAGGCGGCUCUCUGGGACGGUACUGACGCUGAGACGCGAAAGCGUGGGGAGCGAACAGG